UUUAUUUGAUUUUGUGUUGUGUGUGUUUGAUUAAAUUCAAUAAGAACAGUUUGAAUUUGAAAGUUGAACUGAUCACACACAGACUGUUAAGAGUGUGUUGUGUUGGUUGUCAUCGUCAUUAUUUUCGUUCGUUCGUACUUUGUCACUAGUGGCGUAUAAGUGUUGUUGAUUAUUUUUUGUGAAAAAAAUCUAAUACAAUUUACGCGCGCGUAAACUGUUUUACUUACUAAAAAGAAAGUAAUUAAAAAUAGCAGGCGUAUUUUGUGAAGAUUUAAAAAAUUGAUUAAAUUAUAAAAAAAUAUAUAUUUUUAGUGGCGAAUAAAUGUUAAAAAUAUAUUAAAAUAAAUACACAAAAAAAUACAAAUAUAUUUAAAAGAAAAAUUAAAAAUAAAUGAAAAUUUUCAAAUAAAACAAAAAUUAAUAAAAGUGUUGACAUAAUUUGAUUAAUAGUGCAGUUUUAUAUUUAGUUUUAUUGGAAAACCAAUAAAGGAUAAUCUAGUCUUCUUUGAACAUAUUGUGAUAUUUUCUUUUUUAUUUCCAAUGAUUGUGUUUGUGAAAAUUGUAAAAUAAUCAUUAAGAAUUUUUGUCACAAAACUUGAUCACAUAAUAAAAUGGUGAAAAUGCUUGACAUGGAUCGUCAUGCUGAUUGCCCCUUAUGGGAGGCAUUAGCUUCAAAAGAAGUUCCUUGGACUGGCAUGCGUUAUGCUUGUCUAAACGUUUUACAGGCCUAUUGUAAAGUGUUCGAUAAAAAAGAAAUUUAUGAUCUCAUUGUAAG
rnacentral:lncRNA from 1 species